rnacentral:rRNA from 1 species
CAGGCCUAACACAUGCAAGUCGAGCGGCAGCGCGAUCUUCGGAUCGGCGGCGAGCGGCGGACGGCUGAGUAACACGUGGGAAUGUACCCCAAAGUGAGGAAUAACUGCCCGAAAGGGUAGCUAAUGCCGCAUAUGAUCUUCGGAUUAAAGGCUUCGGCCGCUUUGGGAACAGCCCGCGUACGAUUAGAUAGUUGGUGAGGUAAUGGCUCACCAAGUCGACGAUCGUUAGUUGGUCUGAGAGGAUGACCAGCCAGACUGGAACUGAGACACGGUCCAGACUCCUACGGGAGGCAGCAGUGAGGAAUCUUCCACAAUGGGCGAAAGCCUGAUGGAGCAACGCCGCGUGCAGGAUGAAGGCCUUCGGGUUGUAAACUGCUUUUAUGAGUGAAGAAUAUGACGGUGUGUAAAAGAAGAGCGCCUGGUCUAAUCAUAGGUGCGCCGCAGCACGCGG